UUAAAUUUAUUAUUAUUCUCAGACAACAUAAAAAUUUCCAAGAGUUUUUUUUAAAUUUCCCUCUGGCGAGCACACAUCAGCCUAAACCAACGGAAAAGCCUUUAAAAAAAAAAAACUUUUACGGCUCACCAAAGCAACAAAGUCAAGUACGCAGAGGUUUUAGAGGUCUACCCCCCAAAAAGAGGCAUAAACUCUUUUAAUGAUCCUUCCGCAGGUUCACCUACGGAAA
rnacentral:misc_RNA from 1 species